rnacentral:rRNA from 1 species
CGUAGGGUGCGAGCGUUAAUCGGAAUUACUGGGCGUAAAGCGUGCGCAGGCGGUUUUGUAAGACAGAUGUGAAAUCCCGGGCUCAACCUGGGACCUGCAUUUGUGACUGCAAGGCUAGAGUACGGUAGAGGGGGAUGGAAUUCCGCGUGUAGCAGUGAAAUGCGUAGAUAUGCGGAGGAACACCGAUGGCGAAGGCAAUCCCCUGGACCUGUACUGACGCUCAUGCACGAAAGCGUGGGGAGCAAACAGGAUUAGAUACCCUGGUAGUCCACGCCCUAAACGAUGUCAACUGGUUGUUGGGUCUUUACUGACUCAGUAACGAAGCUAACGCGUGAAGUUGACCGCCUGGGGAGUACGGCCGCAAGGUUG